AUGGUGGGGAUGAGCGGCGCCUAUGGCGGCCACAGCAAUGGUGGCGAGAGCCGGGCGCCCAACGAGGCAGUGGUAGUCAGGGCGCCCAAGGAGGCCGUGGUAGUGGGGGCGCCGCCGUCGGAGAUGGAGAUGGCGGGGGCGAUGGGGGUGGUGCACAAGGUGGCGGCGCAGCCGGCGCAGAGCACGGCGAGCAAGAUGAAGGGCAAGGUGAAGGAGACCUUCUUCCCCGACGACCCGUUCCGGAGCUUCAAGGGGCAGCCGCUGCGGGCGCAGUGGGUGCUGGCGGCCAGGUACCUGUUCCCGGUGCUGGAGUGGUUGCCCGGCUACUCGCUGUCCCUCUUCAAGUCCGACCUCGUCGCCGGCCUCACCAUUGCCAGCCUCGCCAUCCCCCAGGGCAUCAGCUACGCCAAGCUUGCGAACCUGCCGCCGAUCAUAGGCCUGUAUUCGAGCUUCGUGCCGCCGCUGGUGUACGCGGUGCUGGGGAGCUCGCGGGACCUGGCGGUGGGGCCGGUGUCGAUCGCGUCGCUGAUCAUGGGGUCGAUGCUGCGGCAGGCGGUGAGCCCGUCGGCGGAGCCGAUGCUGUUCCUGCAGCUGGCCUUCACGUCCACCUUCUUCGCCGGCCUCGUGCAGGCCUCGCUCGGCAUCCUCAGGCUGGGGUUCAUCAUCGAUUUUCUGUCCAAGGCGACGCUGGUGGGGUUCAUGGCGGGCGCGGCCAUCAUCGUGUCGCUGCAGCAGCUCAAGGCGCUGCUGGGCAUCGUGCACUUCACCACCCAGAUGGGCAUCGUCCCCGUCAUGGCCUCCGUCUUCCAGCACACAAACGAGUGGUCGUGGCAGACGAUGCUGAUGGGCGCCUGCUUCCUGGUGCUCCUGCUCGCGGCCAGGCAUGUGAGCAUCAGAUGGCCAAAGUUCUUCUGGAUCUCAGCGUGUGCUCCCUUGGCAUCCGUCAUCGUAUCCACCCUUCUCGUCUUCCUGUUCAAAGCACAGAACCAUGGCAUCAGCAUUAUUGGUUCGCUCAAAUGUGGCCUGAAUCGCCCCUCAUGGGACAAACUGCUCUUCGACCCGACAUAUCUUGGACUCACCAUGAAGACUGGACUCGUCACCGGAAUCAUCUCCCUUACGGAAGGAGUAGCAGUCGGUAGGACGUUUGCUUCACUCAAGGACUACCAGGUGGACGGAAACAAAGAGAUGAUGGCCAUCGGGUUGAUGAACAUUGUGGGCUCAUGCACAUCGUGCUAUGUGACAACAGGAGCAUUCUCUCGCUCUGCUGUGAACCACAAUGCCGGCUGCAAGACCGCCAUGUCCAAUGUGGUCAUGGCGCUGACGGUCAUGGUCACGCUGCUGUUCCUCAUGCCAUUGUUCGUAUACACGCCGAAUGUUGUCCUUGGAGCAAUCAUCAUCGCUGCUGUCAUUGGCCUGAUCGAUCUCCCUGCUGCAUACAACAUCUGGAAGAUGGACAAGAUGGAUUUCCUCGUGUGUCUGUGCGCAUUUGCUGGUGUCAUCUUCAUCUCGGUCCAAGAAGGCCUUGCGAUUGCGGUUGGUAUAUCGAUAUUUAGGGUGUUGAUGCAAAUCACAAGGCCAAGGAUGAUGAUUCAGGGCAACAUUAAGGGAACAGAUAUUUACCGAAACCUCCAUCAGUACAAGGAAGCUCAAAGAGUUCCUGGGUUCUUGAUAUUGACAAUUGAGGCCCCCAUAAACUUUGCAAACACCAACUAUCUGAAUGAAAGGACUAAAAGAUGGAUAGAGGAUGAAAGUUCUUCAGGGAAUAAACAAACUGAACUCCGUGUCAUAAUCUUGGAUCUAUCAGCUGUCCCUGCAAUUGACACAAGUGGCAUAGCAUUCCUCAUUGACCUAAAGAAGUCAAUAGAGAAACAUGGCCUAGAGCUUGUACUUGUGAAUCCAACUGGAGAGGUCAUGGAGAAAAUACAACGAGCGAAUGACGCGCACAAUCAUUUCAGGCCGGACUGCCUGUAUUUGACCACCGGGGAAGCAAUCGCUUCACUUUCUGGAUUUGCCAAGAUGGCAACACCUUAG
rnacentral:rRNA from 1 species